AACGAACGCUGGCGGCAUGCCUAACACAUGCAAGUCGAACGAGAUCUUCGGGUCUAGUGGCGCACGGGUGCGUAACGCGUGGGAAUCUGCCCCUUGGUUCGGAAUAACAGUUGGAAACGACUGCUAAUACCGGAUGAUGACGAAAGUCCAAAGAUUUAUCGCCAGAGGAUGAGCCCGCGUAGGAUUAGCUAGUUGGUGUGGUAAAGGCGCACCAAGGCGACGAUCCUUAGCUGGUCUGAGAGGAUGAUCAGCCACACUGGGACUGAGACACGGCCCAGACUCCUCCGGGUGGCAGCAGUGGGGAAUAUUGGACAAUGGGCGAAAGCCUGAUCCAGCAAUGCCGCGUGAGUGAUGAAGGCCUUAGGGUUGUAAAGCUCUUUUACCCGGGAUGAUAAUGACAGUACCGGGAGAAUAAGCUCCGGCUAACUCCGUGCCAGCAGCCGCCGUAA
rnacentral:rRNA from 1 species